rnacentral:rRNA from 1 species
UACAGAGGUCUCAAGCGUUGUUCGGAUUCAUUGGGCGUAAAGGGUGCGUAGGCGGCGCGGUAAGUCGGGUGUGAAAUCUCGGGGCUUAACUCCGAAACUGCAUUCGAUACUGCCGUGCUUGAGGACUGGAGAGGAGACUGGAAUUUACGGUGUAGCGGUGAAAUGCGUAGAUAUCAGGAAGAACACCCGUGGCUAAGGCGGUUCUCUAGUACGGUACUGACGCUGAGACGCGAAAGCGUGGGGAGCGAACAGG